UGGGCACAAAAUGGGUGGAAGUAGAUGUGCCACUUGUUAUAUGUAACUUUCCUUUCUAUUACCUGACAAUGCAAGGGGUCUAGCAUGUGACUGGAAAUGUUGAAGUAAUAUGUCAUAAAAUUUCAGGCUCUUGAAGAUCCUGACCUGGAGUUACACUCUGAUUUCAGUUCUUUGUGGAAAUGGGACCCAUUCUCUGGGUUUCAGGACUGGCCGUUGUUCAGCACGCCAAGGGUUCGGCCUGAGAGUCUGGCUCGAACUUGGAAGCCUAAGAUCUCAGGGCUCCAGAGACGGGCAGAUCGAGGGUGGGUGUCAUGGCAGGGGACCCGUGUGUCAUCGGGGGAGUAGGAAAAUCUACUGCUGUGGGCCCAAAGACUUAAGAUCUAUGCGAUCUUCAGGCACAGAGCUUGAAUAAAGCAGCAGAAUGGACUUCUAACAUCGUAAACUAGUGAGCUGUUUGUUAUGUCUCCCUGCUCGCUGGGAACAUGGAGACAUCUCUUUCUCCCCAAAUAGGGAGAGAGAGAACCUGCGGUAUGUCGAAUGCCAGGUUGUAGGAGAUGAAUUUGAGUCUGCAGGAAGUGGUUCUGUCAGCGGUAGCCAAACUUCUUCUCCAACAAUUGAGUCUGCUCUCCUUCGCUGAUGGAUGCAUCACUUCCAGAUGAUAUCAGCCACAAUCUCCACUGUGUAGAAGGAUGGUUCAGUUCAGUCCUUAAUCUUUUCAAGUAUCCACUUUUGAUCACCUCUGUAGUCCCUCACCAGAAUUGCUUGGCCAGGAGUGAAACAUCGAACCUCCGUCUUUGAAGAGCCUUCUAUUUGUCCCAGCUGUUUGUCCUGCACACUCCUUCUGUGACCGGGUUUGAGGAGAUCCAGGUGUGAAUGCAAGGGAUGACUUGGGAGCA